rnacentral:autocatalytically_spliced_intron from 1 species
AGGAGCUGGAUACGGCAAACGUAAGUCCGGUUCUGUGAGAGCAAAGAAAGCAGGGGAAUUACCUGCUUUCUAGCUACUCGAU